AAGGGAAGUAUAGAUGAGAUAGUUAAUAGGACUUGACAGAUUAAUGGACUCAACUAGGGUUUCAUCAGUUCUCAUCAUUCCUCCAAAUUUGUUUCUCUUCAGUAUCUUUCCGCUAGGGUUUUAUCUUCUUCUUCAACCGCCGUCGAUGCUUCGUUAUCCACGAGCACCACCACGCCACCAAGCCACGAACCACCACCGAUGAGGUGGAUUAUGAUACAUAAGGAGAAGUAGCUUAUAUGAGAAGUAGCUUAUUUGGAUUGGAAUAUAACUAUAGCAUUUUUUUGCUACAUGGCAUGUGGUUGGAAGAUCUCCACCAGAGUAAUUUGAGUAUCAAUGAUUUGUUUCAUGACUGGCGGCAUGCAUUUGAUCAAAUCAAACAGGUGUUCAUUGAUGAGUUUAUUUGUAAAAUAUUUGAAAAUUUAAAUUUGGAUAACUAUAAUAUAUUGAUAGACUGUGUUGUGAUCUAUAUGAUGCUGCAGAUACAAUUAUAUACUAUUGGGUUGUUUGUUAUAUUUGAAUGCCCAACUUUUUUAUUUAGCAUUGCUUUAUUUUUAAAUAUUAAAAUGUAGCUGAAUUUUUUUAUGAUAAUUAAGAUCAAUUAACCGACAAACCGAUCCAUUUUAACCGAUAAACCGAUUAAACCGAAUCCGAUCAAACCGAUAUAAAAUUCAGUCGGAAUUGGGCCUAGGAAAUGAAUCCAUGGUUUCAAAUGGUUUGGCAUAUUGGGCCCGAAUCCAAUCCAAACCGACCGAUGUCCAGCCCUAGUCAUAUGUCGUUAUUUGUUGAAUUGUGAGAAUGGUACAUUCUUAAGCUAUUAAUGGAAAAUUAUUUUAGAGAACGGAUUUAUUUUAGAUAGUUUUUCAAUGCACCUCAAACACAUCUUAUACACCCUGCAAAUUUUUAUUUUGCCCCUGCUUUCGUAGAUGCAUAUCUGGAAGCACCUCAUACUUUGAAAAAAUUUAAUUCCUUUCGUAGAUUCAUCUACGAAAUCGUAUAAAAUAAAAGAAAACACAGUUAAUUUCACCUUAUUUUCAAUUUAGCAAUUCUUCCGUAGAUGCAUCUACGGAAUGUGGUGAAAAUAGAGUGUUACGUAGGUGCAUCUACGGAACAAUCUGCUAUUUUUUGAAUUCAUGUCAUUUUCAUUAGAAACUCGAUUUUUAAAGACAUAGAUAUUCAAAUUCAGUAAUGCAUUUUAAAGACAACAGUAGGUAGACCAAUAAAAAUACAAUAUAUAAAUAAUAUCAGUUAAAGUGUCGAGUACAUCAUCAAAUACAUACAAAAAUGAAAUAUAAAUACAUCAUCAAAUAUAACUACUGAGUAUGUCGGGCGUCCUCCUGCGUACCAUCCUACGCAUCCCCUCCGAGUCCACCAAGGGCUCUGUUGGCUCUACCCUAGCAUCAAGUGUCUCACGGGUCCUGGCACGAUGUUGACGGUACAGAAUUGCACUCUCUGCCAUCCUGAUCAUAUCAUCCAGCACACGCCUAGAAGCAGUCCCCUUAGAGAAUAAACCCUCUGCAAUGGCUCCGAUGCCCCUGUUAGCUAUUUAACAACACAGAGGAAGAAGAUCUUGAGUGUGGUCCAACUGAGCCUGAUGCGCAUAGAGAAUCUACUCGUGGGCUGGGCUGGGAGGACCCCUCUUUGCAGCUGAAAGCAUGUAUGGAUGUGAGACUCUAUAGUACCAUGUGAUGUACCCCUCGACACAGCUCCAGUCGUGCUCUGCUAGCGUCGCCCGUGCCUCCUCAGGGACCAUGUGAUGCUCCCAGUCUGCAAAGACCUCAUCUAACUGCCUGCGA